GAUGAACGCUGGCGGCCUGCCUAACACAUGCAAGUCGAGCGAAGCGGGGACGGGGGAGUAUCACGUGGAUAACCUCCUAUAAGACUGGGGUAACUUCCGGAAACCGGAGCUAAUCCCGCUACUUAUCGAAGGAGCUGCGCUGCAUUAGCUAGUUGGUAAGGUAACGGCUUACCAAGGCCACGAUGCAUAGCCGACCUGAGAGGGUGAUCGGCCACACUGGAACUGAGACACGGUCCAGACUCCUACGGGAGGCAGCAGUAGGGAAUCUUUCGCAAUGGGCGAAAGCCUGAUGGAGCAACGCCGCGUGAGUGAUGAAGGUCUUCGGAUCGUAAAGCUCUGUCAGUAGGGAGGCGGUACCUGCUCAGAAAGCAACGGCUAACUACGUGCCAGCAGCCGCGGUAAUAC
rnacentral:rRNA from 1 species